GAAAACGGACCCGGCGUAUUCGGAGGUAGCAAGGGGCGGGAGGCGGCGGAGGUCAGUCGUCAGAGGGAGGAGGCUGGUUCCGCGAGAGCGGCCGUCGAUAGUGGUCCGCUUCCCCGAGAGAAGAGGAGUAAGGUAGAUGGUUGACCGCGCCGCGCUCCUUGAUUGGCAGUUCCGCAUAAAAGAUAACCACCAUUUAUUCCUUCGGGAUCGAAAGGGUCCAACGUCAUAACCCACUGUCGAAGGACAUAGUAGGCCAACGAAGGGGCGCACUGUCGAUGUGAGGUAAGACGAGGCGAUAGCCAGUCGAGGUAACUCUUAGAUCUACACGAACAGAAGCGCUUACAAGCUACCCUUCUGUGCGAGGAAGAGGUAAUGAUCUUUCCGAAAGGGACUUUCAUUUAUGCAGGAGGGACAGGGUUAGAGGGCGGAUCGGGUGGCAGUAGAGGGGGAAGAGGAUAGGAUACGUUGGCAGAGCCCAGAAAACGAGUUCCAUGGGAACGAGGUGAGACAGGAAGCGAGUGAGAGGUGUCCAGGACAGGGUAGAGAGAGGGAGAGUAAGGAGAGGGAUGAGGUGGCCAGACCGAUGUACGGGUAGCUAUUGAUGAGGGAAUCGCGACGAGAAAGAUGGCGGCGGGCGUACGGGAGGCAACAACAACCACGGGUCGAGGUAUGGGAAAGACACUUUGAGCCGAAUUCAAGACUAUGGAAACAGGAAUUAUGAGAAUAGUUAUACAUGAGCAGAACAUCAAUAGGUAGAUGACGUUCUAGUCAAGAACUAAGACGAGGGUUUCCUCGGAGACUAUGUCAAAGAACCUUAUGUUAGUAACGACCUAUGCAUGUACGACCCGACGGAUUAUUCCGAAACGUCCGAAAAUCGGUUUACCGGUUCCGCGUUCAAUACGACCUACUCCAGUGGAACGACUUACGAGAUCAACGAACACGUUCCUGUACGUACUACUUCCAGCCUUUCGAGACAGUACGUGAUGAACACUGUUUACCAAAACUCUAAUUGACAAUAUACCCAAGGAGAAACUAAUCAUACAUACGUUUCACACCCGAACAACUUCUACGAGCGUCCCAAAAACUACCUAACGGACUCUCCUUACGCCAAACGACCUGGAGUUACUAAAGACCUAUAUGUGUCAAUCCAGUCAGAUUUCUCCGACAAUUCGAUAAGUCUCUCUACGUUUAACGACCUCACUUUCAACUACUACGUUGUUAACGAUGACAACAUAGAAGUACGCCGGUCUACCCUCGUGACCUGAACCCUGCCAUACAGGUACGAAUGACACUGUAAGUACCAAAUCCCUUCCUAUAAAGACACUUUUUAAGUAACUAACUGUACAUGAGUUUCACACCCCUAUAUUUAUUCCGGAUACUAUAUAAAACACCUUACCAGUUCGCCCUACUAAAAAGGACCUGUCACUACUAUUACCCGAAACGACGUUUACCGGAGAGACCACUCCGUAAUCUAAACAAACGCGUCUACCUUCUUCUCCCACUUCAGUACGGCUUACUCUAUUGAAAGAACCCACAGGAUUGAAGAACGUCGGUACCUCCUAAUCAACUUGUUCCUAUGGUAGUGAAGGUAGCGUACAGGUCAUAAAUGCCAUAACGGGGUUCCUAGCUUGUGAUACCUACGUACCAACUAGAGGACCCGGCACGAUUCAAUAACCGUCUCCGUCUUGUCAAGUAAUUUCUCUACGGAUAGCGAGGACUACAACAUUACACCGCCAGCAACAACAAACGGACGUCUCGGACACCUCUCCACCCUGAACGUCUCAUACAUCGUCUUUCCUAGGUUCAUAACCUCGGUUUGUCCACACCUCCCCUGCAAAAUGAAAGAUGACAGAUACGUUGGUGUAGUUCCACCCAACUACGUUUGUUUCACUCCUGUCCUUAUAUGUCAUCGUCUUUCUGGUUCGUCGGACCAACGAGAAAGUAACUUCACCUACCUACGCACGUACUCAAGAAACGUCCCCUGCUCAGUGUAAAACUUUGACUUCGAUAUAUGUUGUGAGAAAACCCUUAAUUACUUGACAAUCAUCGUCUCAGGAAGGACUACACUUUCGAUUAUGAGGGAGGCAAGCCUUAAUGAACAGAGCCUAUACCUACAUAGAUCUUGAUUUUAUACAGAUCUAUGUAGGUAAAGACGCUGUUCAUUAAGGCUUACCUCCCUCAUGUAAAGAUACCAUUGGUAUGGAGUCAUGGAUACUAAGAUAUUAGAAGUAAAACACUUUACUACUUUGGGCUUCAUAUAGAUGCAUAAACGUAAAGAGAUACUCCGCCCUUCAAAUAAAAGGUCUGUAAAUACAGUACUCGGUGAAUUACACGUUGACUCACGUGUGACAAUAGGACUAAAAUAACCAGAUAGACUCUACAAAGGAAGACCAUAACGUUAGACACGAUCCAUUAUGGGUGUCAACAACGAUACUACAAUGAUACAGUCUUUUAAUCGACAGGUCACGUAGUGAAUAAACAAGAAGAGAGUACAAGAACAGACUGUCAAUAUAAAAAUGGGGCUUGAAUGAUUGGGUCGAAACCAAAGAGACCGAAUUUGAUUAGACCGUCGUCCCAUAGUACACGGGCGAGUGGACAUAGUGACACAACCAGUACCCUUACAUUUUGGUCGUCGGACUUUCAAGGUUUGAGGUCUUAAAUCAAUAAAUGAACUUGACCCGGUACCUAGCCUUCUUAGUUUGAGGUGUCCCAUUUCACGACUACUACUCAGGCACGAAAAACGGGGUCUUCGACUGAAAAUACAAACUUAUCAACGUGUAACAGUAAAGUGAUUUUGAGCCCAACCGAAAUUUUCCAGUUUAACGUGUUCACUAACAACUUAAAGAGCUCCAUCGACAGUCGAGGUAACAGAAGGAGUUUCCAAAGAUAGGGUGAGCACGUAAACUCUCCUCUUCCAUGUACUUAGAUCAACAGGUCUUUCGACACGUGGGGGUCGAACGACUGAUGUAGGUGAGACACUGAUGACCGGAAGAUGGAAAGUAUGUUUUCCCUGACCAACUCUCCCAGCAUCAUUAGAAGGUGCUGUUUCUAGUACAUGGUGAGCUCUUCAAACACAAGUUCGAACGUCAGUUGGUUAGGAUACCGAGGCUCAAUCUCCUCAGGUCGGACCUUAAACGAGACGCCCGCAAGAACUAGUUUGACUGGCAGCGACCUGGAGAGUGUUUCGGGGAAGGCAGUCUAUCGUCGACCCUCUAGUGGCGGAUGAAGGCUAGGGAGGGACGUCUGCCACGCUUCCUGUUCCUCCUCCUGCUCCGAGCCGACACCUAGGGGUGCCUGUGGUUCCGUACCUACGUCGGCGGCGUCUAUUGGGGGUAGUUCAGUUACCCCACACUAGGAAACUUCUACGUCGAGAUGGAUCUUGUUGGACCUGGUAGUCGUCUCCGUCUUCUAGGACGAAGCAUCGCUACUUGGUAACCGGACUACCGGAGGGAGGGACCAAGUACAUACGAGCGUUCGGCUCGUCUUGUAUCAGACUAUAAACACCCAUCAGACCGGGACAACGCUUGUUCCAGCGAUAAAAAUAAUAAAACACCGACAACAGAUAACACUCAUACCUGUUCCCUGUGCAACUCCACAAGAACUCAUCUGGGGCCCCAUUCCUUCUGUAUCUCGUCUCCCACCAAUACAUUACACUUUGCUACUUCUUCUCUGAUCUUCCCGUAGAGGUUACGUUCUGCGAUUGGG
rnacentral:rRNA from 1 species